rnacentral:rRNA from 1 species
UGGUGGAGUGAUUUGUCUGCUUAAUUGCGAUAACGAACGAGACCUUAACCUGCUAAAUAGCCCGGCCCGCUUUGGCGGGUCGCUGGCUUCUUAGAGGGACUAUCGGCUCAAGCCGAUGGAAGUUUGAGGCAAUAACA